GUCAGUGGAGAGUGGAGUUAACGAGCGAGCCCGUCCAAAAACGAGCCACCCAGCCAGGGCCUCCUCUCCUCUCCUCGUGCCAGCAGUAGCACCCACCAGCCACCACCCAAGCAAACGGAGAGAGGCCACGCUGCCGCCCCCUCCCUCAUCCUCCUUCCACUUGCAGCAGAGCAGGGCAGGCAUUGCCUCCGCUCUCACUCCAGUCCUCCCCCCUGCCCUCCCCUCGGCCCCGCCGCUCGAGGGAGAUAGCGUAGGAGGCUCCUACCCGCUUAAUUUGCUCGCCGAGGCAGGUGGAUGAGCUAGGCUGAGAAAGAGCCGCUGUGGCAGGCGACGAAAAGGGGGAAAACCCACCGACCAUGGCAGGGCGAGGAAUGCUGCCGCGCCGGCGCGAGUGAGCGAUCUCGCAGAUCUGCGCCCGGCCGCAUUUUCGCUCCUCCGCACCAAGGAGAUCGGGUGAUUCGUCGGGGGGGAGGGAGAAACCGGGGCCGCAGCGAUGGCGAACGUGGGGGACCUGGCCAACAUCGCGCAGCUCACGGGGCUGGACGCGGUGCGCCUCAUCGGCCUCAUCGUCAAGGCGGCGGCCACGGCGCGGAUGCACAAGAGCAACUGCCGCCGCUUCGCGCAGCACCUCAAGCUCAUCGGCGGCCUGCUGGAGCAGCUCCGGGUGUCGGAGCUCAAGAAGUACCCGGAGACGCGGGAGCCGCUGGAGCAGCUCGAGGACGCGCUCCGCCGGGGCUACCUGCUCGUCAACUCCUGCCAGGACCGCUCCUACCUCUACCUCCUCGCCAUGGGCUGGAACAUCGUCUACCGCUUCCGCACCGCGCAGACCGAGAUCGACAACUACCUCCGCCUCGUGCCGCUCAUCACGCUCGUCGACAACGCCCGCGUGCGGGAGCGAAUUGAGUACAUUGAAAGGGAUCAAUGUGAAUACUCUCUUGACGAGGAAGACAAGGAGGUCCAAGAAGCUCUGUUAAACCCUGACCCUGUCACAAAUCCUUCGAUAGUGCUCAAGAAGACUCUGUCCUGUUCUUAUCCAAACGUGCCGUUUAAUGAAGCUCUUCGGAAGGAAAGUGAGAAGCUCCAGGUGGAGCUUCAAAGAUCACAAAGCAACAUGGAUAUGGCCCAGUGCGAGGUUAUUCAUCACCUGCUUGGAGUAACUAGAACUGUGGCAAGUUCUAUUCCAGAGGAAAGUACAGAUGCCAAGGUUACCAAGAAAACCAAUUCAAAGUGCACAAAAGUUAACGAAGACAGUGCAAAAUCGUAUGAUGAUGACUCCCCAAAGAAGCAAAAAGAUGCCUAUAUUGCACCACGGAGUUCUUCACCUGUUCCCUACAACCAUGAUCUGGUCUCGAGUACAGCAUCAUACAGUGAUGAGUGGCAUGCAGAUUUACUUGGUUGCUGUUCAGAGCCAGCUCUGUGUAUGUCUACUUUUUUCUCAGUGUCUGAAGACCUUCUUUUUUCCAUGUGGAACAUUCUCAAGGAUUGCUUCAAUCGCCAAGAACAAGCCCAUGUCUUCGGGAGAAGCCUGCAAUGAUAUUAUGGCGUACUCCCUCGUAUUGUCUUGUUGCUGUUACACUUGCUGUGUAAGGAGAAAGCUUCGUCAAAGGCUAAAUAUUGCGGGAGGGUGUUGUGACGAUUUCCUUUCACAUGUGAUGUGCUGUUGCUGUGCUCUUGUUCAAGAAUGGCGCGAAGUAGAGAUUCGUGGUGCAUACGGAGGGAAGACAAAGAUAACCCCGCCGGCACACCAGUACAUGGAGCACUGAGACUCUGCGAUCCCUG